CACGUAGGGCGCGAGCGUUGUCCGGAAUUAUUGGGCGUAAAGAGCUCGUAGGCGGUUUGUUGCGUCGGCUGUGAAAUCCCGAGGCUCAACCUCGGGUCUGCAGUCGAUACGAGCAAACUAGAGUGUUGCAGGGGAGACUGGAAUUCCUGGUGUAGCGGUGAAAUGCGCAGAUAUCAGGAGGAACACCGGUGGCGAAGGCGGGUCUCUGGGCAUCAACUGACGCUGAGGAGCGAAAGCGUGGGGAGCGAACAGG
rnacentral:rRNA from 1 species